rnacentral:misc_RNA from 1 species
UUUGGCUGGGGACUCUAUGGACAGGUACUCUAGACUAUCGUACUUUUUUCAGUGACUAAUUUUUUUUUUCCUUCUGCAAACAUACCAAUGUGUGUAUGCAUUUGUGUAUUUGAAGUUCUAGUCUCUAUUUAACAUAUACCAAAGUGCUGACUAUAGUUUUCAUUCGCCAUGUUACUUGGUUAUGUGUUUCUGUUAAUCUUGAUUCUGUUUUUCUGUAGCAUCAUCUCAGUAAACGGUAUUUGCAGAAGUAUCAUUGUUUAAUAUUAAUGAAGGCCUUUCUAACAUUGUAGCUUGUAGCGAAAGUUUGUAGGCAUGCCUUCAAAUGUAGAUCGAGCACUAACCAGUGACUAAUUGACUCAAGUAAACAUAAAUAUGGGACUCUAUAAGGACUAUAGAAUAAAUAAAUCCCAAAUAAGCCAAUAUGAAUUCUAGACUUUAUCUGUAAUAAGUUUGUUAAGUCUUUUGAUCUUUCAUGGUAAUUGUUUGUUGUUUGCAUAACAUACUCAUUUGAAGUAUUCCUUGAAUGAUGAAAAAAGAGAUUGACCUCCUACAGUGACCAGUACUUUCUUGUUUAUAGUAAUACCGAUUGAUAUACUUUCUUAAUAAUAAUAAUAAUAAUAA